AGAGUUUGAUCCUGGCUCAGGACGAACGCUGGCGGCACGCUUAACACAUGCAAGUCGAACGAGAGAAGAGGAGCUUGCUUUUCUGAUCUAGUGGCGGACGGGUGAGUAACACGUGAGCAAUCUGCCUUUCAGAGGGGGAUACCGAUUGGAAACGAUCGUUAAUACCGCAUAACAUAAUUGAACCGCAUGAUUUGAUUAUCAAAGAUUUAUCGCUGAAAGAUGAGCUCGCGUCUGAUUAGCUAGUUGGUAAGGUAACGGCUUACCAAGGCGACGAUCAGUAGCCGGACUGAGAGGUUGAUCGGCCACAUUGGGACUGAGACACGGCCCAGACUCCUACGGGAGGCAGCAGUGGGGAAUAUUGCACAAUGGAGGAAACUCUGAUGCAGCGAUGCCGCGUGAGGGAAGAAGGUUUUAGGAUUGUAAACCUCUGUCUUCAGGGACGAAAAAAGACGGUACCUGAGGAGGAAGCUCCGGCUAACUACGUGCCAGCAGCCGCGGUAAUACGUAGGGAGCGAGCGUUGUCCGGAAUUACUGGGUGUAAAGGGAGCGUAGGCGGGAUCGCAAGUCAGAUGUGAAAACUAUGGGCUUAACCCAUAAACUGCAUUUGAAACUGUGGUUCUUGAGUGAAGUAGAGGUAAGCGGAAUUCCUAGUGUAGCGGUGAAAUGCGUAGAUAUUAGGAGGAACAUCAGUGGCGAAGGCGGCUUACUGGGCUUUAACUGACGCUGAGGCUCGAAAGCGUGGGGAGCAAACAGGAUUAGAUACCCUGGUAGUCCACGCCGUAAACGAUGAUUACUAGGUGUGGGGGGACUGACCCCUUCCGUGCCGCAGCAUACGCAAUAAGUAAUCCACCUGGGGAGUACGACCGCAAGGUUGAAACUCAAAGGAAUUGACGGGGGCCCGCACAAGCAGUGGAGUAUGUGGAUUAAUUCGAAGCAACGCGAAGAACCUUACCAGGUCUUGACAUCGUAUGCAUAGCUCAGAGAUGAGUGAAAUCUCUUCGGAGACAUAUAGACAGGUGGUGCAUGGUUGUCGUCAGCUCGUGUCGUGAGAUGUUGGGUUAAGUCCCGCAACGAGCGCAACCCUUACUGUUAGUUGCUACGCAAGAGCACUCUAGCAGGACUGCCGUUGACAAAACGGAGGAAGGUGGGGAUGACGUCAAAUCAUCAUGCCCCUUAUGACCUGGGCCUCACACGUACUACAAUGGCUGUCAACAGAGGGAAGCAAAGCCGCGAGGUGGAGCGAACCCCUAAAAGCAGUCUUAGUUCGGAUUGUAGGCUGCAACCCGCCUACAUGAAGUCGGAAUUGCUAGUAAUCGCAGAUCAGCAUGCUGCGGUGAAUACGUUCCCGGGCCUUGUACACACCGCCCGUCACGCCAUGGGAGUCGGUAACACCCGAAGCCUGUAGUCUAACCGCAAGGAGGACGCAGUCGAAGGUGGGAUUGAUGACUGGGGUGAAGUCGUAACAAGGUA
rnacentral:rRNA from 1 species